rnacentral:rRNA from 1 species
GACGAACGCUGGCGGCGUGCUUAACACAUGCAAGUCGAACGGAAAGGCCCUGCUUUUGUGGGGUGCUCGAGUGGCGAACGGGUGAGUAACACGUGAGUAACCUGCCCUUGACUUUGGGAUAACUUCAGGAAACUGGGGCUAAUACCGGAUAGGAGCUCCUGCUGCAUGGUGGGGGUUGGAAAGUUUCGGCGGUUGGGGAUGGACUCGCGGCUUAUCAGCUUGUUGGUGGGGUAGUGGCUUACCAAGGCUUUGACGGGUAGCCGGCCUGAGAGGGUGACCGGCCACAUUGGGACUGAGAUACGGCCCAGACUCCUACGGGAGGCAGCAGUGGGGAAUAUUGCACAAUGGGCGGAAGCCUGAUGCAGCAACGCCGCGUGCGGGAUGACGGCCUUCGGGUUGUAAACCGCUUUCGCCUGUGACGAAGCGUGAGUGACGGUAAUGGGUAAAGAAGCACCGGCUAACUACGUGCCAGCAGCCGCGGUGAUACGUAGGGUGCGAGCGUUGUCCGGAUUUAUUGGGCGUAAAGGGCUCGUAGGUGGUUGAUCGCGUCGGAAGUGUAAUCUUGGGGCUUAACCCUGAGCGUGCUUUCGAUACGGGUUGACUUGAGGAAGGUAGGGGAGAAUGGAAUUCCUGGUGGAGCGGUGGAAUGCGCAGAUAUCAGGAAGAACACCAGUGGCGAAGGCGGUUCUCUGGGCCUUUCCUGACGCUGAGGAGCGAAAGCGUGGGGAGCGAACAGGCUUAGAUACCCUGGUAGUCCACGCUGUAAACGGUGGGUACUAGGUGUGGGGUCCAUUCCACGGGUUCCGUGCCGUAGCUAACGCUUUAAGUACCCCGCCUGGGGAGUACGGCCGCAAGGCUAAAACUCAAAGGAAUUGACGGGGCCCCGCACAAGCGGCGGAGCAUGCGGAUUAAUUCGAUGCAACGCGUAGAACCUUACCUGGGUUUGACAUGGAUCGGGAGCGCUCAGAGAUGGGUGUGCCUCUUUUGGGGUCGGUUCACAGGUGGUGCAUGGCUGUCGUCAGCUCGUGUCGUGAGAUGUUGGGUUAAGUCCCGCAACGAGCGCAACCCUUGUUCACUGUUGCCAGCACGUUAUGGUGGGGACUCAGUGGAGACCGCCGGGGUCAACUCGGAGGAAGGUGGGGAUGACGUCAAGUCAUCAUGCCCCUUAUGUCCAGGGCUUCACGCAUGCUACAAUGGCUGGUACAGAGAGUGGCGAGCCUGUGAGGGUGAGCGAAUCUCGGAAAGCCGGUCUCAGUUCGGAUUGGGGUCUGCAACUCGACCUCAUGAAGUCGGAGUCGCUAGUAAUCGCAGAUCAGCAACGCUGCGGUGAAUACGUUCCCGGGGCU